UAGAGAAAGGCAAAACGAUAGAAAUAUCGUGACGCAAAACUACAGGGUCUAAUUAAUUAGAUAGCCAGUUGCCAC
rnacentral:ncRNA from 1 species